CCCAUGUCUUUUGCGCACUUGUUGUUUCCUGGGCGGGUUCGCCCGCCACCAGGACCAAACCAUAAACCUUUUUUUCUUAUGCAGUUUCCAUCAGCGUCAGUAAAAACAAUGUAAUUAUUACAACUUUCAACAACGGAUCUCUUGGUUCUGGCAUCGAUGAAGAACGCAGCGAAAUGCGAUACGUAGUGUGAAUUGCAGAAUUCAGUGAAUCAUCGAAUCUUUGAACGCACAUUGCGCCCUUUGGUAUUCCAAAGGGCAUGCCUGUUCGAGCGUCAUUUGUACCUUCAAGCUUUGCUUGGUGUUGGGCGUUUUUUUGUCUCCCUCUUUCUGGGAGACUCGCCUUAAAACGAUUGGCAGCCGGCCUACUGGUUUCGGAGCGCAGCACAUUUUUUGCGCUUUGUAUCAGGAGAAAAGGACGGUACUCCAUCAAGACUCUACAUUUUUCACUUUUGACCUCGGAUCAGGUAGGGAUACCCGCUGAACUUAAGCAU
rnacentral:rRNA from 1 species